CGUGGGUAACCUGCCCAAGAGAUCGGGAUAACACCUGGAAACAGAUGCUAAUACCGGAUAACAACAGAUGAUGCCUAUCAACUGUUUAAAAGAUGGUUCUGCUAUCACUCUUGGAUGGACCUGCGGUGCAUUAGCUAGUUGGUAGGGUAACGGCUUACCAAGGCGAUGAUGCAUAGCCGAGUUGAGAGACUGAUCGGCCACAUUGGGACUGAGACACGGCCCAAACUCCUACGGGAGGCAGCCAGCC
rnacentral:rRNA from 1 species